ACUCAAAUGAAUUGACGGGGGCCCGCACAAGCGGUGGAGCAUGUGGUUUAAUUCGACGCAACGCGAAGAACCUUACCUGGGCUCGAACGGCUUCCUAACGGCGUUGGAAACAGCGCUAUCCCGCAAGGGAGUGGAGUCGAGGUGCUGCAUGGCUGUCGUCAGCUCGUGUCGUGAGAUGUUGGGUUAAGUCCCGCAACGAGCGCAACCCUUGUCCUGUGUUGCCAGCAUAUAAAGAUGGGCACUCUCAGGAGACCGCCAGCGAUAAGUUGGAGGAAGGUGGGGAUGACGUCAAGUCAUCAUGGCCUUUAUGUCCAGGGCUACACACGUGCUACAAUGGGCGGUACAAACCGACGCCAACCCGCGAGGGGGAGCAAAUCGGAAAAAACCGUUCUCAGUUCGGAUUGCAGGCUGCAACUCGCCUGCAUGAAGCUGGAAUCGCUAGUAAUGGUAUAUCAGAACGAUACCGUGAAUACGUUCCCGGGCCUUGCACACACCGCCCGU
rnacentral:rRNA from 1 species